rnacentral:rRNA from 1 species
GUGAGGAAUAUUGCGCAAUGGACGAAAGUCUGACGCAGCCAUGCCGCGUGAAGGAUUGACGGCCCUAUGGGUUGUAAACUUCUUUUGUAUAGGAAUAAACCCUCGUUCGUGAACGAGGCUGAAGGUACUAUAAGAAUAAGCACCGGCUAACUCCGUGCCAGCAGCCGCGGUAAUACGGAGGGUGCAAGCGUUAUCCGGAUCUAUUGGGUUUAAAGGGUCCGUAGGCGGAUCGUUAAGUCAGUGGUGAAAUCCUACCGCUCAAAGGUAGAACUGCCAUUGAUACUGGCGAUCUUGAGUAUGUAUGAAGUUGGCGGAAUGUGUGGUGUAGCGGUGAAAUGCUUAGAUAUCACACAGAACACCGAUUGCGAAGGCAGCUGACUAAUACACAACUGACGCUGAGGGACGAAAGUGUGGGGAUCAAACAGGAUUAGAAACCCUAGUAGUCC